rnacentral:rRNA from 1 species
CGCGUAGGCGGUCGCGUGCGUCGGAGGUGAAAUCCCCGGGCUUAACCCGGGACCUGCCUCUGAUACGGCGCGGCUUGAGUCCGGGAGAGGGGAGCAGAAUUCCCAGUGUAGCGGUGAAAUGCGUAGAUAUUGGGAGGAAUACCGGUGGCGAAGGCGGCUCCCUGGACCGGUACUGGCGCUGAGGCGCGAAAGCGUGGGGAGCAAACAGGAUUAGAUACCCUGGUAGUCCACGCCGUAAACGAUGGGUGCUUGGUGUCGGGGGUAUCGACCCCUCCGGUGCCGAAGCUAACGCAUUAAGCACCCCGCCUGGGGAGUGCGGUCGCAAGGCUGAA